AUUGAACGCUGGCGGAAUGCUUUACACAUGCAAGUCGAACGGCAGCACGGACUUCGGUCUGGUGGCGAGUGGCGAACGGGUGAGUAAUGUAUCGGAACGUGCCCAGUCGUGGGGGAUAACGUAGUGAAAAUUACGCUAAUACCGCAUACGAUCUAUGGAUGAAAGCGGGGGAUCGCAAGACCUCGCGCGAUUGGAGCGGCCGAUAUCAGAUUAGGUAGUUGGUGGGGUAAAGGCCCACCAAGCCAACGAUCUGUAGCUGGUCUGAGAGGACGACCAGCAACCCUGGAACUGAGACACGGUCCAGACUCCUACGGGAGGCAGCAGUGGGGAAUUUUGGACAAUGGGCGAAAGCCUGAUCCAGCCAUUCCGCGUGCAGGAUGAAGGCCCUCGGGUUGUAAACUGCUUUUGUACAGAACGAAAAGGUUUCUACUAAUACUAGGAGCUCAUGACGGUACUGUAAGAAUAAGCACCGGCUAACUACGUGCCAGCAGCCGCGGUAA
rnacentral:rRNA from 1 species